rnacentral:misc_RNA from 1 species
CAACAGCAACAAUGAAAAAAAAACGUGUGCGUAUGUACAUGUAUGCGUGUAUGUGUGUGUGAAUCUGGCUUUGGUGAGGAACAGCGAGGCGCUUCUGCGGCACCGGGCCGUUUCCCUUGUGACGCACAAGCGCACACGUGCGCCCUUGCCCACAGCGCUAGAGCGCUCCGUCCGCCGCCUCCCUACGCCAUUUGUGUGUAGUCGCCUGUCUCCUGCCUUUGGGAGGAGACAGGCGAGGCGCACUUUGAAGUAGGAGAGAAGAAGCAUACCCACCGGCACAUAGGGAGGAGGCGAGAUCUUCUCCCCCCUGCGCCCUCUUCCCUCCCCUUCCUCCGCGACACCCACCCACAAAUCGACGCGCAUCGAGCUUCGACCGCAUCCAUCGGCGGCCGAAGCUCUUUUUCUGUAGGGCGGCCAAAACGUGGUCGUCCUUCUCUGCCUUACGCACACAUGGGGGUGUGUACGAAUGGGCGUAGAUGCUCUGCUGCUCUUUUCAUUUUUUCGCUGUUGCUCUUGUCUGGAAGUUUUUGACAGGAACG